CUAGGACCAGUUUAAGUUCUGGUGUACAGAAUGUCUAUGGAAACCAGCCUGAGGCUAUUUUUUAUCAAAUAGCUGCUGAAACUCCUGAAGGCAACAGGAAUUCAUGUGAAAGAAGCCAGCAUUACAGUUCUGGUGCAACUACAGACUCUUUUGAAACACCAAAAUCAGGCAAUCGCAACUCUCUACAUCAGGAUCACGACAG